GAUGAAGAACGCAGUGAAAUGCGAUAAUUAAUGUGAAUUGCAGAAUUCAGUGAAUCAUCGAGUCUUUGAACGCACAUUGCGCCCCCUGGUAUUCCGGGGGGCAUGCCUGUCCGAGCGUCAUUGCUGCCCUCAAGCACGGCUUGUGUGUUGGGCUUCCGUCCCUGGCAACGGGGACGGGCCCAAAAGGCAGCGGCGGCACCAUGUCUGGUCCUCGAGCGUAUGGGGCUUUGUCACCCGCUCCCGUAGGUCCAGCUGGCAGCUAGCCUCGCAACCAAUCUUUUUAACCAGGUUGACCUCGGAUCAGGUAGGGAUACCCGCUGAACUUAAGCAUAUCAAUAAGCGGAGGA
rnacentral:misc_RNA from 1 species